UACGUAGGGUGCGAGCGUUGUUCGGAAUUACUGGGCGUAAAGGGCUCGUAGGUGGCCAACUAAGUCAGACGUGAAAUCCCUCAGCUUAACUGGGGAACUGCGUCUGAUACUGGAUGGCUUGAGUUUGGGAGAGGGAUGCGGAAUUCCAGGUGUAGCGGUGAAAUGCGCAGAUAUCAGGAGGAACACCGGUGGCGAAGGCGGAUCUCUGGGCCUUACCUGACGCUCAGGCGCGAAAGCGAGGGGAGCGAACUGG
rnacentral:rRNA from 1 species